rnacentral:rRNA from 1 species
UACGUAGGGUGCGAGCGUUGUCCGGAAUUAUUGGGCGUAAAGAGCUCGUAGGCGGUUUGUCACGUCUGCUGUGAAAUCCCGAGGCUCAACCUCGGGCCUGCAGUGGGUACGGGCAGACUGGAGUGCGGUAGGGGAGAAUGGAAUUCCUGGUGUAGCGGUGGAAUGCGCAGAUAUCAGGAGGAACACCGAUGGCGAAGGCAGUUCUCUGGGACGGUACUGACGCUAAGGCGCGAAAGCGUGGGGAGCGAACAGG